GACGAACGCUGGCGGCGUGCUUAACACAUGCAAGUCGAACGAAGAGCGAUGGAAGCUUGCUUCUAUCAAUCUUAGUGGCGAACGGGUGAGUAACGCGUAAUCAACCUGCCCUUCAGAGGGGGACAACAGUUGGAAACGACUGCUAAUACCGCAUACGAUCUAAUCUCGGCAUCGAGGAUAGAUGAAAGGUGGCCUCUACAUGUAAGCUAUCACUGAAGGAGGGGAUUGCGUCUGAUUAGCUAGUUGGAGGGGUAACGGCCCACCAAGGCGAUGAUCAGUAGCCGGUCUGAGAGGAUGAACGGCCACAUUGGGACUGAGACACGGCCCAGACUCCUACGGGAGGCAGCAGUGGGGAAUCUUCCGCAAUGGACGAAAGUCUGACGGAGCAACGCCGCGUGAGUGAGGGCGGCCGUCGGGUUGUAAAGCUCUGUUAAUCGGGACGAAAGGCCUUCUUGCGAAUAGUGAGAAGGAUUGACGGUACCGGAAUAGAAAGCCACGGCUAACUACGUG
rnacentral:rRNA from 1 species